UACGUAGGGGGCGAGCGUUAUCCGGAUUUACUGGGCGUAAAGCGCGUUAAGGCGGUCGGCAACGUUGGUUGUGAAAUCUCAGGGCUCAACCCUGAAAUUGCGACCAAUACUGGUCGACUAGAGUGUGAGAGAGGAAGGUGGAAUUCCCGGUGUAGUAGUGAAAUGCGUAGAUAUCGGGAGGAACACCAGUGGCGAAGGCGGCCUUCUGGCUCAUAACUGACGUUGUAGCGCGAAAGCGUGGGGAGCGAACCGG
rnacentral:rRNA from 1 species